UAAGUUGGUAGUGAAAUCGUGUGGCUCAACCAUACACACAUUAUCAAAACUGCUCAGCUAGAAGAUGAGAGAGGUCGCUAGAAUUCCUAGUGUAGGAGUGAAAUCCGUAGAUAUUAGGAGGAGUACCGAUGGCGUAGGCAGGCGACUGGCUCAUUCUUGACACUAAGGCACGAAAGCGUGGGAGCGAACGGAUUAGAUACCCCGGUAGUCCACGCCGUAAACUAUGGAUGCUA
rnacentral:rRNA from 1 species